AAUCACAGAAGAAGACACCUCAGAUGAAGAAGAAGUACUUCCCAAGAGCAAAAAAAGGCGUUAGAGGAUCCAGUUGGAGAAGCACUAAUGUGAAUUUUAG